AGGGAUAGCCCGAGGAAACUCGGAUUAAUACCUGAUAUUCUUUACAUUUCGCAUGAAAUAAAAAGGAAAGGUCAGCCGAACUAAGAUGAGCUCGCGUUCUAUCAGCUAGUUGGUGAGGUAAAAGCUCACCAAGGCAACGACGGAUAGCUGGUCUGAGAGGACGAUCAGCCACACUGGGACUGAGACACGGCCCAGACUCCUACGGGAGGCUGCAGCAGGGAAUAUUGCGCAAUGAGCGAAAGCUUGACGCAGCGACACCGCGUGUGGGAUGACGGAUCUAGGUUUGUAAACCACUUUCAGGAGGGAAGAAAAUGACGGUACCUCCACAAGAAGCCCCGGCCAACUACGUG
rnacentral:rRNA from 1 species